CCAAACAUGGAGUGAGAAGCAAAAAACAAAAGAAAGGAAGACGGCGACGCCUUGGCUAAACAAGGCUGCACCUGCUCUGCCAAGCAACAUGGAGAGGGCCUGAGGCAGCCAGCUGCCCGCUGUCUGCACACCCCACAUGAUGAAUUUUGACUGCAGGUUUACAGGAUUCCCUGAGCUGCCUUCUGAAACUCUGGCUGCCACCUCCUAGGUGCUGUCACCAGGCCCAGCUUCUCCUAACCACUUGUUUGCAGGCCUGAGAGCUAUGGACUAAUGCUGCACCUGAGCUAUCUAGCUGGGCCUGGAGCAUGGGCCUGUGGUCACGGCUGUUUGGGAGGUUGAGGCAAAGGAUGAAAAAGUCAAGCCCACUUGACUACAGAGUGAGUUCAAGGCCAGACAGUGCUGUUUCGUGAGGCCUGGCAAAGAGGGCUGCUGAUGGAGUGUAGUGGUCAAGGACCCACUUAGUGGGUUCAGUUCUCGGUGUAGUUUAAAAAAUAGGUAAACAAAUAAAGAUACAA